rnacentral:rRNA from 1 species
GGUGCAAGCGUUGCUCGGAAUCACUGGGCGUAAAGGGUGCGUAGGCGGCUUGGGAAGUUGGGUGUGAAAGCCCCGGGCUCAGCCCGGGAAGGGCACUCGAAACUGCCGAGCUGGAGUGCCGGAGGGGAGAGUGGAAUUCCUGGUGUAGCGGUGAAAUGCGUAGAUAUCAGGAGGAAUACCGGUGGCGAAAGCGACUCUCUGGACGGCAACUGACGCUGAGGCACGAAGGCUAGGGGAGCGAACGGG